AGCAGCCGCGGUAAUACGGAGGGUGCAAGCGUUAUCCGGAUUUAUUGGGUUUAAAGGGUCCGUAGGCGGAUCUGUAAGUCAGUGGUGAAAUCUCACAGCUCAACUGUGAAACUGCCAUUGAUACUGCAGNUCUUGAGUAAGGUAGAAGUGGCUGGAAUAAGUAGUGUAGCGGUGAAAUGCAUAGAUAUUACUUAGAACACCAAUUGCGAAGGCAGGUCACUAUGUCUUAACUGACGCUGAUGGACGAAAGCGUGGGGAGCGAACAGGAUUAGAUACCCUGGUAGUCCACGCCGUAAACGAUGCUAACUCGUUUUUGGGGCUUUAUGCUUCAGAGACUAAGCGAAAGUGAUAAGUUAGCCACCUGGGGAGUACGUUCGCAAGAAUGAAACUCAAAGGAAUUGACGGGGGCCCGCACAAGCGGUGGAUUAUGUGGUUUAAUUCGAUGAUACGCGAGGAACCUUACCAAGGCUUAAAUGGGAAUUGAUCGGUUUAGAAAUAGACCUUCCUUCGGGCAAUUUUCAAGGUGCUGCAUGGUUGUCGUCAGCUCGUGCCGUGAGGUGUUAGGUUAAGUCCUGCAACGAGCGCAACCCCUGUCACUAGUUGCCAUCAUUAAGUUGGGGACUCUAGUGAGACUGCCUACGCAAGUAGAGAGGAAGGUGGGGAUGACGUCAAAUCAUCACGGCCCUUACGCCUUGGGCCACACACGUAAUACAAUGGCCGGUACAGAGGGCAGCUACACAGCGAUGUGAUGCAAAUCUCGAAAGCCGGUCUCAGUUCGGAUUGGAGUCUGCAACUCGACUCUAUGAAGCUGGAAUCGCUAGUAAUCGCGCAUCAGCCAUGGCGCGGUGAAUACGUUCCCGGGCCUUGUACACACCGCCCGUCAAGCCAUGGAAGUCUGGGGUACCUGAAGUCGGUGACCGUAACAGGAGCUGCCUAGGGUAAAACAGGUAACUAGGGCUAAGUCGUAACAAGGUAAC
rnacentral:rRNA from 1 species